GACGUAGGGCGCGAGCGUUGUCCGGAAUUAUUGGGCGUAAAGAGCUCGUAGGCGGUCUGUCGCGUCCGCUGUGAAAGCCCGGGGCUUAACCCCGGGUCUGCAGUGGAUACGGGCAGGCUAGAGGUAGGUAGGGGAGAAUGGAAUUCCCGGUGUAGCGGUGAAAUGCGCAGAUAUCGGGAGGAACACCGGUGGCGAAGGCGGUUCUCUGGGCCUUACCUGACGCUGAGGAGCGAAAGCGUGGGGAGCGAACAGG
rnacentral:rRNA from 1 species